AUGGCCUGGACUCAACACUUUCUAUCACUUCUUACAUACUGCACAGGAUCCUGGGCACAAUCUGUGUUGACUCAGCCAUCCUCAGUGUCUGGGAACCCUGGACAGAAAGUAACCAUCUCCUGUGCUGGAAGCAGCAGUAACAUUGGUAGCAAUUAUGUGAACUGGUACCAACAACUCCAAGGAAGCUCCCCCAAGCUUCUCAUCUAUAAUAAUAACAAUCGACCAUCAGGGAUCCCUGAUCGCUUCUCUGGCUCCAAGUCUGGCAACUCAGCCACACUGACCAUCACUGGGCUCCAGCCUGAAGAUGAGGCUGAUUAUUACUGUCAGUCCUAUGAUGAUAACCUCAAUGGUUUCAUCUUCUCAACAAAUACUAGAGUCACAGUGAUAGGAGAAGAUUUCGUUCUGUCAUGGAGACAAUGA